rnacentral:tRNA from 1 species
GGGGACGUAGCUCUAAUUGGGAGAGCGCCCGCCUUGCACGCGGGAGGUUGGCGGUUCGAACCCGCUCGUCUCCA